AUUUAAAUAGUUUAAAAAAAAUAUUGAUUUGUGGAAUCAAAGAUAUGUAAUAACAUUUUAGAUA
rnacentral:tRNA from 1 species